GACGAACGCUGGCGGCGUGCUUAACACAUGCAAGUCGAACGGAAAGGCCCUGCUUGCAGGGUACUCGAGUGGCGAACGGGUGAGUAACACGUGGGUGAUCUGCCCUGCACUUCGGGAUAAGCCUGGGAAACUGGGUCUAAUACCGGAUAGGAGCCAUUUUUAGUGUGAUGGUUGGAAAGUUUUUUCGGUGUAGGAUGAGCUCGCGGCCUAUCAGCUUGUUGGUGGGGUAAUGGCCUACCAAGGCGGCGACGGGUAGCCGGCCUGAGAGGGUGGACGGCCACAUUGGGACUGAGAUACGGCCCAGACUCCUACGGGAGGCAGCGGUGGGGAAUAUUGCACAAUGGGCGCAAGCCUGAUGCAGCGACGCCGCGUGGAGGAUGACGGCCUUCGGGUUGUAAACUCCUUUCGCUAGGGACGAAGCUUUUUGUGACGGUACCUAGAUAAGAAGCACCGGCUAACUACGUG
rnacentral:rRNA from 1 species